UCGCGAGAGCAGUGGUUAGAAAAAGAAGAGAGUUACCGCGCUGAGAUUGGGGAGUUAAAGCAACAAGUAGAAAGUUUGAAAUUCGGAUACAGCGUGCAAGUCGCUGUGGACCAAGGGGAGAAGAAUAAGUUAGUUCAAGAAAAUGAGAUGCUCAAAGCCCAAAUCUAACAAAUGAAGGUAGCCGCCAAGAAUCAACAGAGGAGUGUAUCAGAUGAAAGACUAAUAAAAGGUUUGAAAAACGAGAUCAAUGAGUGUCGAGGCAAGUUGGAAAGGCCGGAGAACAUCAGGCGGAACUAAAGGCACAAUGGGCUAAAAAAUCCGAAAAGCGGCGUCAAUAUCUCCAGCAACUGAUAAAGGAUCAUGCAAAAGUUGUAGCUAACUUACAGGGAGAAAUAGUGGCCCUUGAAAAUAAAGU
rnacentral:lncRNA from 1 species